rnacentral:rRNA from 1 species
UACAGAGGUCUCAAGCGUUGUUCGGAUUUAUUGGGCGUAAAGAGCUCGUAGGCGGUUCGGCAAGUCGGGUGUGAAACCUCCAGGCUCAACCUGGAGACGCCACCCGAUACUGCUGUGACUAGAGUCCGGUAGGGGAGCGUGGAAUUCCUGGUGUAGCGGUGAAAUGCGCAGAUAUCAGGAGGAACACCAGCGGCGAAGGCGGCGCUCUGGGCCGGAACUGACGCUGAGGAGCGAAAGCGUGGGUAGCAAACAGG